AAACGGCCGCGGUACCCUAACCGUGCAAAGGUAGCAUAAUCAUUUGCCUUUUAAUUGGAGGCUGGUAUGAAUGGUUUGACGAGAGCUAUGCUGUCUCUUUUAAAAUAUUUAAAAAUUAACUUUUAGGUGAAGAGGCCUAAAUUUAUUUAAGGGACAAGAAGACCCUGUUGAGCUUUAGUGAUGUUGUAAACGAUGAAGAAUAAGUUAUUAUUGAUUUGUUGUGUAUUUAUUAUAAUAAAAGUUUGCAGAUAAUCUUUAGUUGGGGCGACUGAGGAACAUAAAAAGCUUCCUUGUAUAUAAAUUAUUUAAGUAAUUGAAUAAAUUAAUGCUUAUGUGUUAUUUUGAUCCAAAUUAUUUUGAUUAAGAGAAAAAGUUACCACAGGGAUAACAGCGUAAUCUUUCUGGAGAGAUCUUAUCGAAAGAAGGGUUUGCGACCUCG
rnacentral:rRNA from 1 species